GCAAAAAACUAAUAAACUUUCAAAAAUACCUUCAAAUACUUAUAAAACAUGUCAAUGGAACAAAAUAUACGCACUUUCAAAGAUUUCCUCGAAUUUUACAAUCAAAUGUCACAGACCUGCUUCAGCCACUGUGUGAACACUUUCAAACGCUACGAAAUCGAGCAGGAUGAAGUUGCGUGCGUGGAACGCUGUGCUACAAAACUGAUACGCUUCAAUAAUCGUUCUAUAGGAGUAUAUGCAGAACUGCAACAGCAAUUGAUGGAAAAACGUAUGGCGGAAGCUGAAAAAGAAGCACUGACUGCCCAAGCCAAACUGGAUGCAGAAGCCACCAAAGUUGCAACAACUGAUGCAGUAGAACAAUCCUCAACACCAGAUACACAAAAUGAAGUUUUAAAAACCAAUUCAUAGUUAUUGCUUGUAAUAAACCAAAAAAUGCAAGCUAGUGUUAUCAUAGUUUUAGUUGGUUUACCAGGAGCUGGAAAGAGUACAUUUUCCAAGUUGUGUAAAACACAUUUAACAGAAUAUCAUGUUGAAGUGUUGCAUUAUGAUGACUUGUGUGUGACUUUUUCUACAGAUGAACGAAAAUCCAUCUUGAAUCAAGCAGAGAAUUAUAUUUUACACAGUAAAACAACAAAUGUGUUAAUUAUUGAUGAUAAUAAUUAUUACAAAAGCAUGCGUUUUGCAUAUAUGAAACUCUGUAGAAAAUUAAAUUUAGGAUUCAUAGUUGUAUAUUUUAAAAUGUCGUUGGAGGAUGCAUUGGAGCGCAAUGCACGUAGAAAUGUAAAAGAAAAGGUUCCCAAUGACAUUAUCAAAGAGAUGUUUGGUAAAUUAGAAGUACCAACAGGUGAACAUGUUGUUCACAUUAAUAUUCAACAAGAUUUUUGUGAUUUUGAUUUUGAUUUCAUUAGAAACAAGAUUCUAAACACGUCGAAAACUCCUCUAUAUCAAGUUGAACCAGUUAUUUCAGUUCCAAUGCCGCCAUCUUUGCUACAAAAGGUUGAUUUGACUAUGAGGAAAAUUGUACAUAGAAAAAUUCUAGAAGAUAAAACGCGAGCCAGGGAGUUAAAUAUUUUAAAGAAAGAAUUGUACAAGAAAAUUACAAGUGGAGAACUUGUUGUUUCUGCGGAAAUUGAUGAGUUGGAAAGUGAACUAGCGCAAUAUUUUGUUUAAAAUUAUAAGAAAUCGUUGUUUUAUUGUAGAUAGUGUAUAAUAAAAGAUUAAAUAUG